UUUACACACGAAAGAAGAGACGUUUAGCACUCCCCUUGACAAGGAUGGAACACAUAACAGUUCACCUUGAUUUUGAAUACAGUAAUAAAUAUAUUUUUAU